UAGUCCACGCCGUAAACGAUGGUUACUAGCUGUUCGGACUUCGGUCUGAGUGGCUAAGCGAAAGUGAUAAGUAACCCACCUGGGGAGUACGUUCGCAAGAAUGAAACUCAAAGGAAUUGACGGGGGCCCGCACAAGCGGUGGAGCAUGUGGUUUAAUUCGAUGAUACGCGAGGAACCUUACCAGGGCUUAAAUGUAGUAUGACAGGUUUAGAGAUAGACUUUUCUUCGGACAUAUUACAAGGUGCUGCAUGGUUGUCGUCAGCUCGUGCCGUGAGGUGUCAGGUUAAGUCCUAUAACGAGCGCAACCCCUGUUGUUAGUUGCCAGCGAGUAAUGUCGGGAACUCUAGCAAGACUGCCGGUGCAAACCGCGAGGAAGGUGGGGAUGACGUCAAAUCAUCACGGCCCUUAUGGGCUGGGCUACACACAUGCUACAAUGGUGGUUACAGUAGGACGCAAUGGAGCAAUCCGGAGCAAAUCCUCAAAGAUCAUCUCAGUUCGGAUUGGAGG
rnacentral:rRNA from 1 species